GAUGAACGCUGGCGGCGUGCCUAAUACAUGCAAGUCGAGCGAACAGACGAGGAGCUUGCUCCUCUGACGUUAGCGGCGGACGGGUGAGUAACACGUGGAUAACCUACCUAUAAGACUGGGAUAACUUCGUGAAACCGGAGCUAAUACCGGAGAAUAUAUUGAACCGCAUGGUUCAAUAGUGAAAGACGGUUUUGCUGUCACUUAUAGAUGGAUCCGCGCCGCAUUAGCUAGUUGGUAAGGUAACGGCUUACCAAGGCAACGAUGCGUAGCCGACCUGAGAGGGUGAUCGGCCACACUGGAACUGAGACACGGUCCAGACUCCUACGGGAGGCAGCAGUAGGGAAUCUUCCGCAAUGGGCGAAAGCCUGACGGAGCAACGCCGCGUGAGUGAUGAAGGUCUUCGGAUCGUAAAACUCUGUUAUUAGGGAAGAACAAAUGUGUAAGUAAAUAUGCACGUCUUGACGGUACCUAAUCAGAAAGCCACGGCUAACUACGUG
rnacentral:rRNA from 1 species